ACGAAGGUGGCAAGCGUUGUUCGGAUUUACUGGGCGUAAAGGGAGCGUAGGUGGUGGGGUAAGCCCCGCGGGAAAGCUCCAGGCUUAACCUGGAAAGGUCGCGGGGGACUGCUCCGCUCGAGGACGGGAGAGGAGCGCGGAAUUCCCGGUGUAGCGGUGAAAUGCGUAGAUAUCCGAAGGAACAUCAGUGGCGAAAGCGGCUUCCUGGACCAGAACUGACGAUCAGGCACGAAAGCGUGGGGAGCAAACAGGA
rnacentral:rRNA from 1 species